GAGCGGCGUACGGGUGCGGAACACGUGUGCAACCUGCCUUUAUCUGGGGGAUAGCCUUUCGAAAGGAAGAUUAAUACCCCAUAAUAUGUCGAAUGGCAUCAUUCGACAUUGAAAACUCCGGUGGAUAGAGAUGGGCACGCGCAAGAUUAGAUAGUUGGUGAGGUAACGGCUCACCAAGUCUACGAUCUUUAGGGGGCCUGAGAGGGUGAUCCCCCACACUGGUACUGAGACACGGACCAGACUCCUACGGGAGGCAGCAGUGAGGAAUAUUGGACAAUGGGUGAGAGCCUGAUCCAGCCAUCCCGCGUGAAGGACGACUGCCCUAUGGGUUGUAAACUUCUUUUGUAUAGGGAUAAACCUACCCUCGUGAGGGUAGCUGAAGGUACUAUACGGAAUAAGCACCGGCUAACUCCGUGCCAGCAGCCGCGGUAAUACGGAGGGUGCAAGCGUUAUCCGGAUUUAUUGGGUUUAAAGGGUCCGUAGGCGGAUCUGUAAGUCAGUGGUGAAAUCUCACAGCUUAACUGUGAAACUGCCAUUGAUACUGCAGGUCUUGAGUGUGUUGAAGUAGCUGGAAUAAGUAGUGUAGCGGUGAAAUGCAUA
rnacentral:rRNA from 1 species